ensembl:snRNA U6 U6 spliceosomal RNA
GUGCUCGCUUCAGCAGCACAUAUACUAAAAUUGGAAGGACACAGAGAAGAUUAGCAUGGCCCCUGUGCGAGGAUGACACGCAAAUUCGUGAAGCAUUCCAUAUUUUU